rnacentral:rRNA from 1 species
UUUGACCUCGGAUCAGGUAGGAAUACCCGCUGAACUUAAGCAUAUCAAUAAGGGGAGGA